rnacentral:rRNA from 1 species
CUAUACAUGCAAGUCGAGCGAACGGACGAGAAGCUUGCUUCUCUGAUGUUAGCGGCGGACGGGUGAGUAACACGUGGAUAACCUACCUAUAAGACUGGGAUAACUUCGGGAAACCGGAGCUAAUACCGGAUAAUAUUUUGAACCGCAUGGUUCAAAAGUGAAAGACGGUCUUGCUGUCACUUAUAGAUGGAUCCGCGCUGCAUUAGCUAGUUGGUAAGGUAACGGCUUACCAAGGCAACGAUGCAUAGCCGACCUGAGAGGGUGAUCGGCCACACUGGAACUGAGACACGGUCCAGACUCCUACGGGAGGCAGCAGUAGGGAAUCUUCCGCAAUGGGCGAAAGCCUGACGGAGCAACGCCGCGUGAGUGAUGAAGGUCUUCGGAUCGUAAAACUCUGUUAUUAGGGAAGAACAUAUGUGUAAGUAACUGUGCACAUCUUGACGGUACCUAAUCAGAAAGCCACGGCUAACUACGUGCCAGCAGCCGCGGUAAUACGUAGGUGGCAAGCGUUAUCCGGAAUUAUUGGGCGUAAAGCGCGCGUAGGCGGUUUUUUAAGUCUGAUGUGAAAGCCCACGGCUCAACCGUGGAGGGUCAUUGGAAACUGGAAAACUUGAGUGCAGAAGAGGAAAGUGGAAUUCCAUGUGUAGCGGUGAAAUGCGCAGAGAUAUGGAGGAACACCAGUGGCGAAGGCGACUUUCUGGUCUGUAACUGACGCUGAUGUGCGAAAGCGUGGGGAUCAAACAGGAUUAGAUACCCUGGUAGUCCACGCCGUAAACGAUGAGUGCUAAGUGUUAGGGGGUUUCCGCCCCUUAGUGCUGCAGCUAACGCAUUAAGCACUCCGCCUGGGGAGUACGACCGCAAGGUUGAAACUCAAAGGAAUUGACGGGGACCCGCACAAGCGGUGGAGCAUGUGGUUUAAUUCGAAGCAACGCGAAGAACCUUACCAAAUCUUGACAUCCUUUGACAACUCUAGAGAUAGAGCUUUCCCCUUCGGGGGACAAAGUGACAGGUGGUGCAUGGUUGUCGUCAGCUCGUGUCGUGAGAUGUUGGGUUAAGUCCCGCAACGAGCGCAACCCUUAAGCUUAGUUGCCAUCAUUAAGUUGGGCACUCUAAGUUGACUGCCGGUGACAAACCGGAGGAAGGUGGGGAUGACGUCAAAUCAUCAUGCCCCUUAUGAUUUGGGCUACACACGUGCUACAAUGGACAAUACAAAGGGCAGCGAAACCGCGAGGUCAAGCAAAUCCCAUAAAGUUGUUCUCAGUUCGGAUUGUAGUCUGCAACUCGACUACAUGAAGCUGGAAUCGCUAGUAAUCGUAGAUCAGCAUGCUACGGUGAAUACGUUCCCGGGUCUUGUACACACCGCCCGUCACACCACGAGAGUUUGUAACACCCGAAGCCGGUGGAGUAACCUUUUAGGAGCUAGCCGUCGAAG